CACGGUGAAAUCUAUCAUAAUUUAGUUAUGUAUUUGAUAAAAUACAAUCUAAUGUUAUUAAAUAUCCAUUUGAUUUUGGGAUUUUAUAUGGUGUUGGAUAUUGUAUAUAUUAGUAGAAUUAGGUGUAUUUAUUUGUGGUCCAAACAAAAAAAAUGGUGUAUUUAAACUCAUGAUAAAAUCCACUGUUACUCAAAAUAUCUACAUGAUUUUGUUGUAUUUUAGCUAGAGAAUUGAUUUUAAAGUUUAUUUGACAAUUUGGGUUUUAGUUACACGGGUUUCAUGUGAUUGAAAGGAAAAAG
rnacentral:lncRNA from 1 species